GAGAUUGUGGAGUGUCCUUCUCUGGAGUUAUUCAAGACUGAUCUGUAUGCCUACAUGUGCAAUCUGCUGUAGGAAACCUACUUAAGCAGUCUCACUGGAAAUUGAGGAAGAUCACUUACAUUUGAAAAGGCUUAAGUAAUACAGAGGAAGGAAAGAAAGACCAUUACAAAAAGCAAGAUUCACACUGACUUGGAGGACAGCUUUAGUGCAAGUUGACCCAAACUACUAUUUCUGCUUCAUACCACAAAAGAAAUGACUAAGAACAGUUUGAAAAUAAAACAAAACAAAACAAAACAUAUCAACUGGGAUUUGGAGAAAUGAAACUUAGGUGAUUGUUAUUCACAUUAUGCUUAAAAAAAAUAAAUAAGAGAAAAAAAGAUCUGAUACCUGCAACAUGUGUUAGAUGGAUUUACCUUUCACAGAACUGUAGUGCUCAUAAUGGUAUUAUGAAGUGGUUGUAGAGGAUAUGGCUCAAAAACACCUUGCUUAUAAAGCAGUGACCCUGGAUUCUUCAAAUCAGACUUAAAAUUACUCAUAUCAAUCAACAAAAAAACUACAGUGAGAUUUUUUUUUUCUUAAAUUUUUUGGGAACCUAUAUUCAUUCUAGUUGUACUCAUGGAAUGGGAAUUGGCGGUAUAAAUUAUUGUAGUAAACAUUAAAAACUUAUAAAACAGUCCUUUGUACUAACAAUAUAUGUGAGUUUAGAAAUGUUAUCAGUCUGUUUCAAGUACACACUGUCAUAUUCUGUUAACUGGGAUACUUGUUAGAAAGAAUAUAGCAUAAAACCUUCCUUCUAAAAUCUGGAUUCAAAUAAGUAACAGUUUUGGAGUGACUGUAAUUUGAAAAAUACUUAGUGUUUCUGUUUAAUGCUCUUUUAACUACAUGUUUUCCAAUUGCACUUCUUUAAUGGUUCUUGAUUGCUUUGUUAAAAGCAAUAUAUUUUAUUUUUUCCAGUUAAAUAUUCUCCUUUAAAUAAAACAAUUGAUCAAAUAAAUCAACAUAAAAAUGUUCCUUUGUCAAGAAUACACAAAUUUCUCAUAUAAUUUGGUCAGAGGUGAACAAAACUUGGUCAGGUGGUGGUUAUUACCUUCAGAUGAGUGCACAGCAAAGCUGAGGAACAAAAAUUAGGUUUUAAUGAAAAAGAAGUAAUUCCACAAGAAGAUUUCAGUCUUUAUACAUUCAAAUUCUAUUCUAGUGAUAAAUCUUCUUUUAUAUCAAAAUAUAUGCAGAACAUUCAAAAAAUGAAAUCUGUAGUCCACAAAAUAAUUGAUGCUAGAAGUUGUCAGAGAAGAGGUGACUGACCUCCUCUGUGCUUAGCAACAUCCCUUAGCAACAACAGAUUAUUAGCACAUAUCACUAAAUAGGAGAGAAUCGUAGGCAACCAAAUGAUA